rnacentral:pre_miRNA from 1 species
GCCCCGCACACGUGGAAGCCUGGGGUGGGCCCUCUUGGGGUGCAGGUUUUCAGAGCUGUGUGGCCAGGAAGAUAUACCAACCGCUUUGGAAACCUACGUCCUGAGUGGUUCCUGGACCCAGGUUCACCCCACCUCCCACGGGGU